rnacentral:lncRNA from 1 species
GCAAUGGAAAUAUAUUUUCUACCAAUUCGCAGGGAUGACACACACAAGGUUUUCACCAAUGAAGUGGUUAACCGGAGGAGUUAACCUAUCAGCGAUAUGUGGCAGGAGACUCUACAUCCGAGCAUCAGAGAAGACAUGUCGUUUGCAACUGGCGGUAUGAACUCUGCAUUUUAGGAAGUUUUGAAUAUGAUGAACUAGUACAUGUAUGUUGCCGAGACCUUCCUUUCAGUACGGAUCUUUGUGUUCGGUUUGAG